CGGGUAGUGGCGCAGCUCGGUAGCGCGCCUGCCUGGGGGGCAGGAGGUCGUGGGUUCAAAUCCCGCCUACCCGACCA
rnacentral:tRNA from 1 species